rfam:Picea glauca, whole genome shotgun sequence.
ACAUGCCUACAACAUAGAUUUAAUGCACCAGAUCCCAUUAGAACUCCAUAGUUAAGUGCACCCAAGCUAGAGUAGUAUUGGGAUGGGUGACUAGCUGGGAAGUCCUAGUGUUUUACAUGCC